GCGGGCGCCGCGGCCGGGCCCGGGCCCGGGGCCCGCGGAGCUCAGCGCGAUGCUGAGUGCGGGCAGCCUGCAUUUAACGGGCGCAGGAAUGCGGCCGGUUAUGCGGCGGCGGCGGAGGCCCCGCGGGCAGGGGCAGGGCUGCCCCAUCUGCAGCAGCCUGGGCGCAGCGGGUCUGCUGCUGGUCCAGCACAGUGCGCAAGGCUGCACCCGGUGUCUCCAGGCUGGAAAAGAUGCACCGAGGUGAUGUGAGGAAAAUUGGAUCCAGCUGUCCAGCUGUCUUCAAGAGCGUUGCUGAAGCAGAUUCAGUAGCUGAGAACUUUGUUUUACCAGCCAGGGAAGGUGAUGGCAGCUGCCAGCUGUGGCUUAUGCAGAACUGCGAGGACAUCAGAGCAAUGCCGAUCUGAACUCUGCCAGACAGGAGGGUUGCAGCCAUCCUCUGGAGGAGCCGCUUCACCAUUACGUGGACAAAGGAGCUUUGUUCAUAGCCAUCCAGUGUAAUAUAUGAGGUAAAAUGGAAAACUUAAGAAAUGAAAAAUAGAAUAUCUCCAACCUGAGACAACUCAAUUUACCAAUCCAUAAAUCUAUAUCCAUUAUGCUCAAUAAGAUGUACAGGUACAAUGGUGCUGGUGUCUUUUCUUGUCCAUCUUCCUGUCUGUAAUACAAGCCUUUCAGAGUUUCUAUGGUGCAUCUGAUUAGUCUCAGUAGGCACUUUGGAACUGAAUGCCUUUUAGACAGAACUACAUGAUAGUUUGAUUAGUUUUACUGUCUGAAUAAAGUUUCUUUGUGGAA